rnacentral:lncRNA from 1 species
UAAAGUUAUUUAAAGCAUGAGAGAAGAAUAUUCUCUUAGCACAUUCUUGCUGCUAUAACAAAAUAGACUGGGUUAUUUACAAAGAACAGAAAUUUAUUUCUUACAGUUCUGGAGACUGGGAAGUCCAAGAUCAAGGUGCUGGCAUUCAGUGUCUGGUGAGGUCCUUCUUGGGAGAUAUUCAGACCAUAGCAAAUAUCACCAAAAACUGUAUGUCAAUAAAUUUGACAACUUAUAUGAAAUGGACAAAUUCCCACCAACUACUGAAACUCACUGAAGAAGAAAUAACCUGAAUAGCCCUAUAUCUAUUACGCCCGCGUUGGUCUCCAGCUUCCCAGAGCCCCGGCGGGUUGCGAGGACCGCCCUGCUCGCCACUGCUCCCCACCGCUCCGGUACCGACACGUGUUCUUACUGCCAAGUUCGGCCGCAGGAUGCUGAGCCGAGCCCCGCCCCGCUCCACAUUUCCCAGGCUCCGCCUCUCCUGCCCCGCCCCCGGCACCGAUUGCCAAUAGCGCCCCGAGGCGUAGCCAGGUCCCGCACUCCCCGUGCCCGGCCCGCCGCCUUUGUUCUCCCCCGCUCUCCCUCUUGGCCUGUGCGCUCCCGGCAAACCGAGUGGCAGCCGCUGAUUGGUGGUUGUGGCGCAGCCAAUCAGAAGGGGGCACCUCACGUUAGGGCUCGGAGUUUUAAACGCGCAGCCGAGGGCCGCGCGCAGGAGUAGGGAGGGCCUAGGGCGGCGGAGCCGACUCGUCGCGGCCGAGGCGCGCGCGGUCCGUGCCGGCGUCAGUCUGGGAUUGGCCGGCCCGCGACUUCCUCCGCCCCCUGCCAAUCGCCGGGGACGACUUCCGUGGGUUUUUCCGGCUCCCCCGCGUCGCUAAGGAGCGACGGGCUGUCGGCCAGACCCCGAGUUCUCGGUGCGCUCAGCGGCCGCCGACGCUAGGAGGCCGCGCUCCGCCCCCGCUACCAUGAGGCCCCGGAAAGCCUUCCUGCUCCUGCUGCUCUUGGGGCUGGUGCAGCUGCUGGCCGUGGCGGGUGCCGAGGGCCCGGACGAGGGUGAGCGGCAAGCGCGCCGCGGGUCGGGCUGUGCUUGCGGGGGCUGCAGAGCUGUGCGGGGGCCUGGGCCCUGCGACCCCGGCGGGCGGGCUUCCGCGCGGUCAGCUCCAGAACUA